rnacentral:rRNA from 1 species
GGAGUUAGCCGGUGCUUCUUCUGUGAGUGAUGUCCUUCCUGCCGGCUAUUAACCCGCAGGCCUUCUUCCUCACUGAAAGUGCUUUACAACCCGAAGGCCUUCUUCACACACGCGGCAUUGCUGGAUCAGGGUUGCCCCCAUUGUCCAAUAUUCCCCACUGCUGCCUCCCGUAGGAGUCUGGGCCGUGUCUCAGUCCCAGUGUGGCUGAUCAUCCUCUCAGACCAGCUACGGAUCGUCGCCUUGGUGAGCCGUUACCUCACCAACCAGCUAAUCCGACAUAGGCUCAUCCGAUAGCGCGAGGCCCGAAGGUCCCCCGCUUUCCCCCGUAGGGCGUAUGCGGUAUUAGCCUGGGUUUCCCCCAGGUUAUCCCCCACUACCGGGCAGAUUCCUAUGCAUUACUCACCCGUCCGCCGCUCGCCACCAGGGAGCAAGCUCCCCGUGCUGCCGCUCGACUUGCAUGUGUUAGGUCCGUCGCCGCCACGCGUUCUAUCUGAGCCACUAAUACAAACUACUCGA